rnacentral:lncRNA from 1 species
UUAUCUUCCGAUGGCUGAUGCUCCUACAUCUCCUCCUAAUUAUUCAUGGAUUUUGGAGGACGAAUCGGUGGAAAAUGUUGGUGGUUCCGGCCUCCCCUCCAUGGAGGUUGUUGCCAGGUCGUAUUCGGCGUUCAUGUAGCGGGUUUUGCCGGAGGUGGUUGAGACGGAAUCCAUGGUGCCGGAGAUCGAAUCCAUGGUAGAUGCGAUGCCGGCGAAUGAAAUUCCCCUUCUUAGUGCUCCGUCUCCUGGAUCUGUUGAAGAAGCGAUCUUCUACGACUUUGCUCAAUAUGAAGGCGAAAAGUAUACUAAAUAUGUGGGCCUUUCAGAGUGUAUUCUUUCGGACAGUGGCUACGACGAGUGGGUGGCCACCGGUAGCCUCAUCCUCAAUGAAGAGCCGCCGCGGGUCUGGCAUAAGCCCACUGACACCUGUGUGCGCCGCCGCCGUCUACAAACCCUAGCAAUAUACUUCUCUGCGUUGCUAGAUCUGAGCGAUUAAGGUGAUAUCUGUGAACUUUAGCUUUUGUUAUAGUUUGUGUUUGGGUUUGUUGGUUGGCUGGUGAUGCCAUUUGAUGGGUGUUGGUGGCUGGUGAUGCCAUUGUUUGUGUUCUAUGAUUAUAUUGUGUUGGUGGCUGGUGAUGCACUUGUUUGUGUUCUGUGUUUAUAUUGUGUUGGUGGCUGGUGAUGCCCUUAUUUAAGUGAUUAAACUAAUAUUGGAUGCAUUAAUACUACUACUUGUACCCUAUGAUGAUAUCUUAUCUGAGGGUGAUUGUUUAUCUACUAAGUGAGCAACCACUAGGUUUGUAACCUAGUAUUGGAUG